UACGGUAUUUAGCGUUACGGUCCUCCGGACAACACAAUAUGUAGUUAUCCGGGGGCUAAGAGGGAAGCCGGUGCAAUUCCGGCGCUGCCCCCGCAACUGUCAGCGGCGAGCUGCCGACCUUUCAUGUCACUGGUGCCGACCGGCACCGGGAAGACCGGACGGUGGCGCGGACCCGCAAGCCAGGAGACCUGCCGUAACCCAGUCUACCAU
rnacentral:ncRNA from 2 species